AGUGCGUAAGUGCGGGUCACUACGCUACAGUUCACGGACGGCUGAGAACCCGUCCUUCUCGUCGGUGCUGUCCGUCGAUUCGCCGGUGCGUCCCAAAGAGAAACCAGCCGUUAAUUGCCCUGUGCCAGAGGUGCAAAGAAGACUUCGGCCCUCUGGGGCCAAAGGCAGCCGAGUGGACAGGCGCAGCCCGGAGCUACGGGGGCUCCCCUGUGCCCAGCAACUUAAGCAGAGGCAACUCGAGAGGCCCAUCAGUAGAUAGCACGAGCCCGCUGGGCACAUCCCUCAUCCUCCUCCAGCCAAGAAGCUCCAGUUUCAGUGGUGAAUUCCACCUGCCUAAAACCUCGGUCACUGCCAAGAGCCAUCCUAGAGCCAUUUGAGAACAUCCCAAACCUAAGGACCCCACUGGGAUCUGAGAAGAGGAACUUGACACCACACCCCUCUAGCCUCGCAGAGUCCCGGUGACAAGCCUGUCUGGAAACCAGUGAGGCCCUUGGCUGAUCAAUAAUACCUCGCAGUGACAGAACGCUUUGCAAACAACCUGUGUCUGAUCACGUCCUCUCUAACCUCAGUGAGCCUCCUGGUUACUUUACCUUUCUCUUCAUCCGGAUCAGUAGUUCUCCCAGUCACCAGAUUCAGAGUUCCUGUCUCUGGGACCCCUGCCUCCACGUCCUCUUUCUUCCUGUCUGCUCCCAGAGUCCCAGAACACUGCUAGAAGGAGAACCCAGCAGACCAGUAUGAAUUCAUGCUGUCCAAUUUCAACUUGGCCCUCGCAGCUGCUCAGCACCCCUUCCACUUGUCUCGUACAUUCCCUGGCACUGGCCCCACAGAGGCUGUUCCACACCUUCCUCUUCUCAGAUUCCAGCUCCUGUUCCACUCCUUCAGACCAAUACACAUACUUUCAUCAGAUGCGUGGCAACUGAGUAACACUGUUUUAUAAAACUGUUUUAUGGGGAACUUAAAAUGUACAAAAGUAGACAGGAUAGUAUAAUGGAUCCCCAUUUACCACUCAGCUUCAACUGGCAUCAACUCUUGGGUACUCUUGUUUCAUCUGUUUCCUCCCUCCCAUAUUGUUUUGGAGCAAAUCCCAGAUGUGAUAUCAUUCCAUACCUAAAUAUUAGGUUGGUGUAAAAGUAAUUGUGGUUUAAUAUACAUACGUAUUGUGGUUUAAUAUACAUAUUAAUAUUUCAGUAUGUAUCUUUAAAAGGAUCUUUUUAUUUAAAAAAUGCCCG